UACGUAGGGGGCAAGCGUUAUCCGGAUUUACUGGGUGUAAAGGGAGCGUAGACGGCUUUGCAAGCCAGAUGUGAAAGCCCGGGGCUCAACCCCGGGACUGCAUUUGGAACUGUGUGGCUAGAGUGUCGGAGAGGCAGGCGGAAUUCCUAGUGUAGCGGUGAAAUGCGUAGAUAUUAGGAGGAACACCAGUGGCGAAGGCGGCCUGCUGGUCGAUGACUGACGUUGAGGCUCGAAAGCGUGGGGAGCAAACAGG
rnacentral:rRNA from 1 species